CUGUGACUGCAUCUCUGAUCUUGGCCCUGAGAAGGAAUGGAGACAUCCGCACUGCCAGAUGCAGCCAGCUGUGCACCCCACAGGAGGAACACAUCUCAUUGAGCCGGGGCUUUGGCGACGACAGGUUCAUCCGGCGGCGGACGCGGCGUGGUGUCGGCGUCGGGAUCCUGGCGAGGCUUUCCUGGGGAGCAGCCUGUCAUCGCCCCGGGAGCACCGAGCAGCUCCUCACAGCACGGGGUGAGUUUGCAGCAUCCUAACAAGAACACGUCGCUCUCAGGGCUGCAACCAAUAUACAAGUCCAUUGGCAGCAGAUGCCUUUUCCCAUAUGCCUGGCUCUGGGCUGUGUCACUUCUGGCAAUGGGAAAUUACUGCUCUUCGCUGCCGUGGGGGAAGGAGAAGGUUGCUUAAAAUGAUUUUGAAUUACGAAGUCAAGAAGCGAUUCUCCUACAGCACAGGUGUAAUACUGACGUCACAGCAAUUUGAGAUUUCUGCACAACCUUCUCUGAAGAAGAUUAACAUGAGUGAAGAAGCCAAUUGCUGAGCUCCUGCCCCAGCACUGUGUUGCUGUGGUGGCACUGGGCACUCUUCAGAGUCUGGUCAAGUCUAAAGUCCUUCAAGGGGAGCACAGAGGACCGUGGACAUCGAAUGGCUCUUUAAUUCCUGAAGUGGGAUCCCAUAUCAUACCUGCAGCCAUCUUCAUGCCUUCCCUCCCCUUGUCUCAGAUGCAAUUCCCAACACCCCUGCGUGUCCAUCUCCAUCACAGCACAAGGGGGGAUGUGAUUUCAGCACGGACCAUCUGGCCGCAGGCUGGCAUCGUGGAAUCCGUGUGCCAUUCCAGCACAGCCCAAGAUGUCACCAGCAAAAGCUGGAAUACCACUCAGUGCAGAAUUACAGAUCAGCUGUCCAAGCAGGACCAGAUGGCACCACCAUGCCAAGGACAACAAACAGUUAUUAAGUUGUCAGACUCUGAACCAAAGUGAGCCUGAGCUGCCGACUUCUUGCCUUUUCUGUGCACAAUCCCCAGGAACGAGCUGUCCCAAAAGACACUGCAGAAAGGUUCCUGGAGAGGGCACUUGAACAACUCUCUCUGGGCCACAGGGUGUCCCUCGAGGAGCCCCAGUGCCCCAGGAGCUGGGCUGGCAGCACUCG